GGCUGCAUAGCUCAGUGGUUAGAGCGAAGCACUCAUAACGCUUAGGUCGGUGGUUCGAUUCCACCUGCAGCCA
rnacentral:tRNA from 1 species